rnacentral:tRNA from 1 species
CUCUGGGUGGUGUAAAUGGUUAACACGCUUGGCUGCUAUCCAAAGGUUUGGAGGUUCAAGUCCACACAGAGG